rnacentral:rRNA from 1 species
UGCCGGCGUGUAUGAAGAAGGCUUCGGUUGUAAGUACUUCAGCGGGAGACGGAGUAAAGUAUACUUGCUCAUGACGUACCCGCAGAGAGCACGCUAACUCCGUGCCAGCAGCCGCGUAUACGGAGGGUGCAAGCGUUAAUCGGAAUACUGGGCGUAAAGCGCACGCAGGCGGUUUGUUAAGUCAGAUGUGAAAUCCCCGGGCUCAACCUGGGAACUGCAUCUGAUACUGGCAAGCUUGAGUCUCGUAGAGGGGGGUAGAAUUCCAGGUGUAGCGGUGAAAUGCGUAGAGAUCUGGAGGAAUACCGGUGGCGAAGGCGGCCCCCUGGACGAAGACUGACGCUCAGGUGCGAAAGCGUGGGGAGCAAACAGGAUUAGAUACCCUGGUAGUCCACGCCGUAAACGAUGUCGACUUGGAGGUUGUGCCCUUGAGGCGUGGCUUCCGGAGCUAACGCGUUAAGUCGACCGCCUGGGGAGUACGGCCGCAAGGUUAAAACUCAAAUGAAUUGACGGGGGCCCGCACAAGCGGUGGAGCAUGUGGUUUAAUUCGAUGCAACGCGAAGAACCUUACCUGGUCUUGACAUCCACGGAAGUUUUCAGAGAUGAGAAUGUGCCUUCGGGAACCGUGAGACAGGUGCUGCAUGGCUGUCGUCAGCUCGUGUUGUGAAAUGUUGGGUUAAGUCCCGCAACGAGCGCAACCCUUAUCCUUUGUUGCCAGCGGUCCGGCCGGGAACUCAAAGGAGACUGCCAGUGAUAAACUGGAGGAAGGUGGGGAUGACGUCAAGUCAUCAUGGCCCUUACGACCAGGGCUACACACGUGCUACAAUGGCGCAUACAAAGAGAAGCGACCUCGCGAGAGCAAGCGGACCUCAUAAAGUGCGUCGUAGUCCGGAUUGGAGUCUGCAACUCGACUCCAUGAAGUCGGAAUCGCUAGUAAUCGUGGAUCAGAAUGCCACGGUGAAUACGUUCCCGGGCCUUGUACACACCGCCCGUCACACCAUGGGAGUGGGUUGCAAAAGAAGUAGGUAGCUUAACCUUCGGGAGGGCGCUUACCACUUUGUGAUUCAUGACUGGGGUGAAGUCGUAACAAGGUAGCC